rnacentral:rRNA from 1 species
GACGAACGCUGGCGGCGUGCUUAACACAUGCAAGUCGAACGGUAAGGCUACAGCUUUCUUCGGUACACGAUUGGCGCACGGGUGAGUAACACGUGGGUGAACUCCCCUUCACUUCCUGAUAAGCCUUCGAAACUCGGUCGAAUACCGGAGAUGACCAUUGUGUGGACACUGUGGUGUAAAGAUAUUGCGGUUUGGGAUGGGCCCGCGGGCUAUCAGCGUGGUGGUGGGUUAAUGGCCUACCAAGGCGGUGACGGGUAGCCGGCCCGUGAGCGUGGACAGCCACCUUGGGCCUAAGACACGGACCAGUAUCCUACGGGAGGCAGCAGGGGGGAACAUUGCACAGUGAGCGCAAGUGUGAUGCAGCGACGCCGCGUGGGUGAUGAUGGCCUUUGGGUUGUAAACAAAUUUCUCCGUAGACGAAGGCUUUCUGACGGUAGAUGGAGAAAAAGCAACGGCUAACUACGUG